GGAUGUAGCUUAAUGGUAGAGUAUGUGCUUUGCAUGCUUGAGGCACUGGGUUCGAUUCUCAGCACCA
rnacentral:tRNA from 1 species